rnacentral:rRNA from 1 species
CCUACGGGAGGCAGCAGUGAGGAAUAUUGCACAAUGGGGGAAACCCUGAUGCAGCGACGCCGCGUGAAGGAAGAAGUAUCUCGGUAUGUAAAAUUCUAUCAGCAGGGAAGAAAAUGGCGGUACCUGACUAAGAAGCCCCGGCUAACUACGUGCCAGCAGCCGCGGUAAUACGUAGGGGGCCAGCGUUAUCCGGAUUUACUGGGUGUAAAGGGAGCGUAGGCGGGGAUGUAAGUCAGAAGUGAAAGCCCGGGGCUCAACUCCGGGACUGCUGUUGAAACUGUAUGGCUGGAUUGCAGGAGAGGCAAGUGGAAUUCCUAGUGUAGCGGUGAAAUGCGUAGAUAUCAGGAGGAACACCAGUUGCGAAGGCGGCUUGCUGGACUGUAAAUGACGCUGAGGCUCGAAAGCGUGGGGAGCAAACAGGAUUAGAUACCCCGGUAGUC